rnacentral:lncRNA from 1 species
GCUCACAGCUGCAGCAUGGGUCUGGUGGAGAGUUUGAACCUUCUCCUCACCUCCACUCAUCCAGAUUCCACCUUUCUGGUAACUAGGAGUGAAGCAGAGCACAGGAAUCCAGUGGCUGGCCCAGGGCAUAAGUGUCUCAGCCUUAAGCCACCUUCUCCCAGGAAACCUGUAAGAGAAGAGCUCUGGUGGGAGACUCUAGAUGGACAUGGAGGGUGGUGGGGUGUAGAGAGAACAAGAUGCCAGGAGAGCCUCCCUCCAGAUUCUCUCCAGCCAGACCCUCUCUCAUUCCUUGCUCUCCCCUUGUCCCCAGGUUUACAAAUAGAGACUUCAUGUUAGCAUCUUCCCCACCAGAGUAAACUGACCCAGGAAGCCCUCUCCUCUCUUUGAACCAUGGAGAAUCAUGCUACCGUAGAAAUUAUGGUUUGGGGAGGUGUGUGUUUCAAGUAGAGGUGGUUUGCCACAGGUAGGUGAUGAAGAGCUGUCAGCUUUAAAGGGCAGAGACACCGUCUAAAGGAAGUAGAAAGCCUCAGGAAAGUACCUAAGUCUAAGUCUGUCAACAAGAGACAGAAAAAGUUUGGGUUAACCUCAAAGUAGCCAGCAUAAACCCUGAAUCUGACUUUUGGGCUUCCUGACCUAGGAGACUGGGAAAACUCAAGAGGGUGUUUCAGGGCUGAGUCUGAAGGAAGAAAGGAUUUGAGGGAGGAAUGUAUAAGAUUAGUCCAAAACAAGGUAUGCACGAGAUAUGGCAGUCAGAUGCCAGGGAGCCAUCAGCUCUGCCAGCUGAAGGGGAGGUGCAGAGUUGGCUGGAAGCUGGCCAGAGCAGAGCAUUUCUCCUGUGAGCACUGGAGAGCUGUGCUGAGAGGCCUGGGAAGAGCCCUGUGCUGGGGGAGGAAGGCUAGGUUGGGUCGGCAUGUUUGUGUGCUGUACUCUUCUGAGCCUUACCUGAAUCUCUUGAGAUAGCUCCACUGAACUUUGAGUGAAGAGGAAAAGAAACUGGGGGAAAGAGGGUGGGAUUAUAAAAAAAGGAGCAGACUGUACCCCUGGGAUCCCUAGGCUAAAAGGCCCUCCCCUUGAUGAGACAGGCAGAGAUCAUCUCCCCUGGAACAAGGUCACCCUUCCUCUCUCCCAUCGCUACAUUCCUCUCCUCCUUACUGUUGACUAUUGGUUGCCUGCCUCUUUCAUCACAAAAUGAGACUCCUCUUUAGCUUUAGUAGAGGGUUGGGCAAACUUUUUCUCUACAGGAGUAGAUGAUAAAUAUGUUAGGCUUUGCAGGACCUAUCAUCUCUGUUGCAGCUUCUCUACUGUAGCAGCACAAAGCAGCCAUAGACAAUAAGUAAACAAAUGGGCGUAGCUGUGUUCCAAUCAGA